rnacentral:lncRNA from 1 species
CCUGCCUCCCUACUACACCUAUCAGAGUAUGUACCAUAUCCAUUAUAGAUUGACAAUAUAUGCCAAGACACUGGUGGGUCCAUGUCAGAGAUUUAAUAACGGACACCCUCCGCUUUACCAUGUCAGGCAAAAAAUAACAACAGUAAGUAUUGUUUAAAACACACACACACAAGCUAUUACCAAGUGAUUUCCAUUGCCUGGACUGCUAGUCCAUUUUCAUCUUUUCUUGUGAUUCCCUAGCUCAGUGGGGGAAUAAACAUGUCAACCCCCCUCCUUUCACCUUCUAAACUAUUUCUGCCCCCUCCUAGCCCUUUUCAGUGGUGCAUCUGGAUAAAAGCCGUAUAAAUUGUAUUUUUGCAAAUUACUCAUCAAUCUGCCUCUCUCCAACUAAAUCAUGCCCCCUGGGACUCUCCCUAUUAACUUCUGCUGUCCAACUUUAUUAAAUCUUAUAAUGUAUUUGAAGCUGUAUCACAUCACUAGCCUCCCUUCCCUCAUCUAAGGUCAUGAUGCCGUUUUCGGAUAUAUGUUGUUAUGUAGGUCAUGGAGUGGCCAUUGUUCUGUAGUGUUUGCUAAAUUAUUCGCUCUGUUUUAGGAAACGUGGCUUCCGAAUUUUCAAUGAAACAGCUUCCCGAAGUGGGAGUAGCCUUGGUGUGUUCAGCACCUAAAGCACAAGAACAUUUGUGUAUGAUCAGUGAUGGCCAUGUGUAGACCAGAAGGUGCACCUGCCCAAGACAUUUUUCCAUCACUCAAUGUAUUCUACUCAAUAACUUAUGUUCCCAUUUAUUGCUCCACCAAUAUUAUCCUAUUGUCGAGAUAAAUCAUGGAGCCACUUAUUGUAUCUGUUUGUAAUAUAGAAUUUGCUUGACGUCUACUGGAAUACGGAGUACCACAGAGAGAUUUUCUGUAGCUCCUAAUAUGUCUCUUCCCUAGGAAGCUUCAUGGGGCCAAUCUUUGCCCGCUCAGAAAAGCAGUUAUUAAAAUUCAUCUUCUUGAAAGGCUCAUGGCCAUUUCCGACUCUGUCAGUCAAUUUUUCACUGUGAUGUUGCCCAUUUUUUGAUCUAAUGCAUCCCCGCUGAGAGGCGAUGCUACCAUGUCCAACCGAUUCUCUGAAGAAAUUUGGAGCAAGUGAACGAACAGCUGCAGCCCUCCUUCCCCAAGGGGACUACCAUGUUCUAAAGGGUAAACAAAGGCAAACCAUUGCCAAGUUAACCCUUUCCUUCUGUCUGCCACUACGGCCGAAGGAUGGAAGGAGGAACAUAGUCCAUCGAAGGAAAAGAGUGGUGUAAAGUGUAAUACUCGUAAUGUCAAGAGUUGGAUAUUCUCUUUAUUGCCAGAUUGUUAUGAUGCCAUUAUUUUAGAUUUCAGUUAAUGAGGGGAAGGACGGUGUCACUGAUACGUACUAAUGCAAC